UACGAAGGGGGCUAGCGUUGCUCGGAAUCACUGGGCGUAAAGGGUGCGUAGGCGGGUCUUUAAGUCAGGGGUGAAAUCCUGGAGCUCAACUCCAGAACUGCCUUUGAUACUGAGGAUCUUGAGUUCGGGAGAGGUGAGUGGAACUGCGAGUGUAGAGGUGAAAUUCGUAGAUAUUCGCAAGAACACCAGUGGCGAAGGCGGCUCACUGGCCCGAUACUGACGCUGAGGCACGGAAAGCGUGGGGAGCAA
rnacentral:rRNA from 1 species